GCCGGCGUGGCGCAAUUGGUAGCGCAUCCGACUUGUAAUCGGAAGGUUAGGGGUUCGAGUCCCCUCGCCGGCU
rnacentral:tRNA from 2 species